GACGAACGCUGGCGGCGUGCCUAAUACAUGCAAGUCGAACGCAGUGGCGAACGGGUGAGUAAUACGUGGGUAACCUGCCCUCCUUUUUGGGAUAAGCCUUGGAAACGGGGUCUAAUACCGAAUAAGGGGGAUGGGCUCGCGGCCUAUCAGCUUGUUGGUGGGGUGAUGGCCUACCAAGGCGGUGACUGGUAGCCGGCCGGAGAGGGUGACCGGCAACAUUGGGACUGAGACACGGCCCAGACUCCUACGGGGGGCAGCAGUGGGGAAUCGUCCGCAAUGGACGAAAGGCUGACGGAGCAACGCCGCGUGAGUGAUGACGGCCUUCGGGUUGUAAAGCUCUGUUAAUCGGGACGCGGUACCGGAAUAGAAAGCCACGGCUAACUACGUGCCAGCAGCCGCGGUAAUUC
rnacentral:rRNA from 1 species